rnacentral:rRNA from 1 species
GACGAACGCUGGCGGCGUGCUUAACACAUGCAAGUCGAACGAUGAAGCCGGAGCUUGCUCCGGUGGAUUAGUGGCGAACGGGUGAGUAACACGUGAGCAAUCUGCCCUUGACUCUGGGAUAACUGCGGGAAACUGUAGCUAAUACCGGAUACGACACCUUGGGGCAUCCCAGGGUGUGGAAAGAAUUUCGGUCAAGGAUGAGCUCGCGGCCUAUCAGCUAGUUGGUGAGGUAAUGGCUCACCAAGGCGACGACGGGUAGCCGGCCUGAGAGGGUGACCGGCCACACUGGAACUGAGACACGGUCCAGACUCCGACGGGAGGCAGCAGCGGGGAAUAUUGCACAAUGGGCGAAAGCCUGAUGCAGCAACGCCGCGUGAGGGAUGAAGGCCUCGGGUUGUAAACCUCUUUUAGCAGGGAAGAAGCGAAAGUGACGGUACCUGCAGAAAAAGCACCGGCUAACUACGUGCCAGCAGCCGCAGUAA